ensembl:snRNA U6 U6 spliceosomal RNA
CAUAUGUGCUUGCUUUGGUAUACCAAAAUUGGAAUGAUUUAGAGAAUAUUAGCAUGGACCCUGCACAAGGGUGUCAUACAAAUUUGUGAAGCCUUCCAUAUUAAA